UACAGAGGGUGCGAGCGUUACUCGGAAUUACUGGGCGUAAAGCGCGCGUAGGCAGCUUUGCAAGUCGGGUGUGAAAUCCCCAGGCUUAACCUGGGAACUGCAUUCGAGACUGCAUUGCUAGAGUAUGGGAGAGGGAAGUGGAAUUUCCGGUGUAGCGGUGAAAUGCGUAGAUAUCGGAAGGAACAUCAGUGGCGAAAGCGACUUCCUGGACCAAUACUGACGCUCAUGUGCGAAAGCGUGGGGAGCAAACAGG
rnacentral:rRNA from 1 species